AUUGAACGCUGGCGGCAGGCUUAACACAUGCAAGUCGAGCGGAGCGAGGGUGCUUGCACCUUAGCUUAGCGGCGGACGGGUGAGUAAUGCUUAGGAAUCUGCCUAUUAGUGGGGGACAACAUUCCGAAAGGGAUGCUAAUACCGCAUACGCCCUACGGGGGAAAGCAGGGGAUCUUCGGACCUUGCGCUAAUAGAUGAGCCUCAGUCGGAUUAGCUAGUUGGUGGGGUAAAGGCCUACCAAGGCGACGGUCUGAAGCGGGUCUGAGGGGAUGAUCCGCCACACUGGGACUGAGACACGGCCCAGACUCCUACGGGAGGCAGCAGUGGGGAAUAUUGGACAAUGGGCGGAAGCCUGAUCCAGCCAUGCCGCGUGUGUGAAGAAGGCCUUUUGGUUGUAAAGCACUUUAAGCGAGGAGGAGGCUACUAGUAUUAAUACUACUGGAUAGUGGACGUUACUCGCAGAAUAAGCACCGGCUAACUCUGUGCCAGCAGCCGCAGUAA
rnacentral:rRNA from 1 species